rnacentral:tRNA from 1 species
GCCUGGCUAGCUCAGUCAGUAGAGCACAAGACUCUUGAUCUUGGGGUCAAGAGUUCAAGCCCCAUGUUGGGUA